rnacentral:rRNA from 1 species
GACGAACGCUGGCGGCGUGCUUAACACAUGCAAGUCGAACGGAAAGGCCCUGCUUUUGUGGGGUGCUCGAGUGGCGAACGGGUGAGUAACACGUGAGUAACCUGCCCUUGACUUUGGGAUAACUUCAGGAAACUGGGGCUAAUACCGGAUAGGAGCUCCUGCUGCAUGGUGGGGGUUGGAAAGUUUCGGCGGUUGGGGAUGGACUCGCGGCUUAUCAGCUUGUUGGUGGGGUAGUGGCUUACCAAGGCUUUGACGGGUAGCCGGCCUGAGAGGGUGACCGGCCACAUUGGGACUGAGAUACGGCCCAGACUCCUACGGUAGGCAGCAGUGGGAAAUAUUACACAAUGGGCGGAAGCCUGAUGCAGCAACGCCGCGUGCGGGAUGAAGGCCUUCGGGUUGUAAACCGCUUUCGCCUGUGACGAAGCGUGAGUGACGGUAAUGGGUAAAGAAGCACCGGCUAACUACGUG